UACGGAGGGGGCUAGCGUUGUUCGGAAUUACUGGGCGUAAAGCGCACGUAGGCGGCUUUGUAAGUCAGAGGUGAAAUCCCGGGGCUCAACCCCGGAACUGCCUUUGAGACUGCAUCGCUUGAAUCCAGGAGAGGUGAGUGGAAUUCCCAGUGUAGAGGUGAAAUUCGUAGAUAUUGGGAAGAACACCGGUGGCGAAGGCGGCUCACUGGCUCGUAUCUGACGCUCAGGCGCGACAGCGUGGGGAUCAAACAGG
rnacentral:rRNA from 1 species